GCCGGGCAUGGUGGUGGGUGCCUAUAAUCCCAGCUACUCAGGAGGCUGAGGCAGGAGAAUCGCUUGAACCCAGGAGGUGGAGGCUGCAGUGAGCCGAGAUCAUGCCACUGCACUCCAGCCUGGGUGACAGAGCGAGACUCUGUCUCAA
rnacentral:SRP_RNA from 1 species